AUUUGGCGGAUGGGUGAGUAAUGCCUAGGAAUCUGCCUGGUAGUGGGGGACAACGUUUCGAAAGGAACGCUAAUACCGCAUACGUCCUACGGGAGAAAGUGGGGGAUCUUCGGACCUCACGCUAUCAGAUGAGCCUAGGUCGGAUUAGCUAGUUGGUGGGGUAACGGCUCACCAAGGCGACGAUCCGUAACUGGUCUGAGAGGAUGAUCAGUCACACUGGAACUGAGACACGGUCCAGACUCCUACGGGAGGCAGCAGUGGGGAAUAUUGGACAAUGGGCGAAAGCCUGAUCCAGCCAUGCCGCGCGUGUGAAGAAGGCCCUCGGGUCGUAAAGCACUUUAAGCUGGGAGGAAGGGUUGUAACCUAAUACGUUGCAGCUUUGACGUUACCAGCAGAAUAAGCACCGGCUAACUUCGUGCCAGCAGCCGCGGUAAUACGGAGGGU
rnacentral:rRNA from 1 species